rnacentral:rRNA from 1 species
CUUAAGGAUUUGAUUAAGUUUGAUGGAGGUCCUGUCUCUAGCCGUUUCAUGCGUUUGAUUAGGCAUUACAAUUCUAUGUUUUGCUUCACAUCUCUUGGCGCUCGAGUUGAUCAGAGUAUUAAUGUUGGCGGGGGUCCCUAUGUCUUCAAGAUGAAUGGGGUGGUUUAUCAUCGUAUUGGUCCUCUUCUUCCUUCGGGGAAUAGUGCGCCAAAGUAUGCUCAGCUUUAUAUGGUGGACUCUGCUGAUGAAGUGCAGUUGAGAAUUAGUGCCUUUGAU